AACGAACGCUGGCGGCAGGCUUAACACAUGCAAGUCGAGCGCCCCGCAAGGGGAGCGGCAGACGGGUGAGUAACGCGUGGGUAUCUACCGCACCCUACGGAAUAGCUCCGGGAAACUGGAAGUAAUACCGUAUACGCCCUCGGGGGGAAAGAUUUAUCGGGGCAUGAUGAGCCCGAGUUGGAUUAGCUAGUUGGUGGGGUAAAGGCCUACCAAGGCGACGAUCCAUAGCUGGUCUGAGAGGAUGAUCAGCCACAUUGGGACUGAGACACGGCCCAAACUCCUACGGGAGGCAGCAGUGGGGAAUAUUGGACAAUGGGCGCAAGCCUGAUCCAGCCAUGCCGCGUGAGUGAUGAAGGUCUUAGGAUUGUAAAGCUCUUUCACCGAUGAGGAUAAUGACGGUAGUCGGAGAAGAAGCCCCGGCUAACUUCGUGCCAGCCGCCGCCGUAA
rnacentral:rRNA from 1 species